rnacentral:rRNA from 1 species
UACGGAGGGUGCAAGCGUUGCUCGGAAUCAUUGGGCGUAAAGCGUACGCAGGCUGUUCGUUAAGUCGGAUGUGAAAGCCCUGGGCUCAACUCAGGAAGUGCAUUCGAAACUGCAGAGCUGGAGUCCUGGAGAGGAAGGCGGAAUUCUCGGUGUAGAGGUGAAAUUCGUAGAUAUCGAGAGGAACACCGGUGGCGAAGGCGGCCUUCUGGACAGUGACUGACGCUGAGACGCGAAAGCGUGGGGAGCAAACAGG